CCUACGGGAGGCAGCAGUAGGGAAUAUUGCUCAAUGGGGGAAACCCUGAAGCAGCAACGCCGCGUGGAGGAUGAAGGUUUUCGGAUUGUAAACUCCUUUUGUUAGAGAAGAUAAUGACGGUAUCUAACGAAUAAGCACCGGCUAACUCCGUGCCAGCAGCCGCGGUAAUACGGAGGGUGCAAGCGUUACUCGGAAUCACUGGGCGUAAAGAGCGCGUAGGCGGGAUAGCAAGUCAGAUGUGAAAUCCUAUGGCUUAACCAUAGAACUGCAUUUGAAAAUGUUAUUCUAGAGUAUGGGAGAGGUAGGUGGAAUUCUUGGUGUAGGGGUAAAAUGCGUAGAGAUCAAGAGGAAUACUCAUUGCGAAGGCGACCUGCUAGAACAUAACUGACGCUGAUGCGCGAAAGCGUGGGGAGCAAACAGGAUUAGAUACCCCAGUAGUC
rnacentral:rRNA from 1 species